UCAGACAUAGUGUAGUGGUAGCACGGCCUCUUUUCUUGAAAUCUGCAUGAGAGUUUUGAGGUAGGAUCUGGGUUCGAAUCCUGGUGUCUGAA